AAAAAAACCGAAGAGCAAAUGAAAAUGAAAGGAAGCGGCUAUGAGAGCGCCACGAAGUUGAAGAAACGUUUGUUGGCAUGAUGAAAGAAUGGAUUUGUGGGUCUUGAAUCAAUCGGAAAUUGGGAAUUGAAGAGCGAGAGAGAGAGAGAGAGAGAGAGAGAGAGAGAGAGAUGGGUGAUCACUACUCGGUAUUGGGUCUGACAAGGAAUGCGAGCAAAGAAGAAAUUAAAGAGGCGUUCAGGAAGCUGGCGGUGAAGCUGCACCCAGACAAGCAUUCCCAUUCUUCUAAGGCGGUGAGGGACACCGCCACCCUCCGAUUCAAGCAGGCCUCCGAAGCCUAUCAGGUCCUCAUCGACGAUCGCAAGCGCGCCGACUACAAUUUCCGAACCUCAUCCGCUUCCUAUUCCCGAACCUCCUCCUCCUCCUCCGGUUACGGUUACGGUUAUAGUAGAAAUAACCGCAAUUAUGCUUCUGCUUCUACACCCUCCAGCUUUGACAGUCUGCUUCGCUAUGUCACCACGCGUGCCUUCCUUCUCAACGUCUCCGUCGCAGGGGCUCUAUUAGGUGGCGUGGGCGUCGUUAAUAUGGGAUGGGAUGCCUUAUGGAAGAUACGUAAUUCUGGGAAAUCAUUUGAAGAAGCGAUGGAAUCUGUUGAAAAGGCCAAAGCACAUAAAGAGAAGCUGUAGGAGGUGGUCACUGUGUUUGCCUUCGGCUAAUCAUAUUUGAAUGCCUCUAGUGGUGACUAGUGUAAGUAUUUUGUAAGUGAUAUUUCUGCAAUUGGAGCCAUUGUUGAGUUUACUGCUCAGCUAGAGAAUUUGUCUGUGGAUUCCACUAAGGUGGUGCCUUUGGAGUAUAUUUGAUACAGCAAUGGGGAGAAUAAAAGCAGUUAGCCAGAGUGCUUUUAGCUAGAUUGGUAUUCCCCUUUGAGGUUUUCUAUCAGUUUGUUAAAGAAGACCAGAAAUGGAAGAUGCUGUGACCUCUGUUUUCAGUGUUUAGUAUUCCAAUUGAAAUAAUUAUUGGAUUACUGGAAUGAGCCCGCCAUUUUCUCUGGCUCCUUUUUAUGGGCAAUGGGGGCUCUCAGGUAUAUGCCCUUCUCCAUAUCUUUAUUUUCUUCGUAUUGGUUAGCAAACAAAAAUUUCCAUGUGAUUAAUGAAUCUCAUUGUAUUACAGUUUCCCCUAAUAAUUUUGUAUUACAGUUUAAAGGUUCCAACUGAUUAAUGAAUCUCAUUGUAACUGAUUAAAGAUGAGCUAGUACUAAACAACAUUGUGAUGGCAAUAUAUGCUGCUUGGCCAAUUUAUAACAAGUUAGAUAGUUCAUACUGCUCAUAUUUUCAGUUGAAACACUAGGGAUCUGAAAAUUAAUCUGCCUUUUAUCUUAAUCUGCUUUACCUUUUUAUUUUAUUUUUUUAUCUUAAUCUUCUUUUUAUUUUAUUUUAUUUUAUUUUUUAUCUUAUCUUCUUAAUUUUUUUAAUUUUUUUAUUUGUUAAUGGUGAAUUCUAGAAUUCCACAUCAGGAUUUGUCUUGCACGCUGCUAACAUUUGGCUGUGAAUUCAUCCAUUUGGCUUUGGCUGAUGAGUUUGGAGUCGGUGCGGAAACAGAAAUUAUGUCACUUUGUAGAAGAAAAGUUAUAUCACUUGGUAAAAAGAAACCAAUUUUGUUUUUUUUGUUUUUCUUGUUUUUUUUUUUUUUCCUUCUUUAAGAAUCAUACUUGAGAGCACAAAAUUCCAAGGAGAAAACUUCAGUGGCAUGGGUAAUUUCAUUUUUACUCUCAUUUUCCGCCUUAAGUAGCGUAUGCAUUUCCAGGUAUGCCACAUUUUUAAUGAAGCCAAUUUUACUGCAGAUGGCCUUCUUGAGUUGGGACGUACUACAACCAAAAUAGAAAAAGAGGGAGGAUGGUUAUUUAUUGCAAGAUGAUUUGAUAGGCAGUGUUAGCAGCAGCAAGGAAUGCCCUGGGGACAAUAUCUCUGUG